rnacentral:rRNA from 1 species
GACGAACGCUGGCGGCGUGCCUAAUACAUGCAAGUAGAACGCUGAAGGAGGAGCUUGCUUCUCUGGAUGAGUUGCGAACGGGUGAGUAACGCGUAGGUAACCUGCCUGGUAGCGGGGGAUAACUAUUGGAAACGAUAGCUAAUACCGCAUAACAGUAGAUAUCGCAUGAUAUCUACUUGAAAGGUGCAAUUGCAUCACUACCAGAUGGACCUGCGUUGUAUUAGCUAGUUGGUGAGGUAACGGCUCACCAAGGCGACGAUACAUAGCCGACCUGAGAGGGUGAUCGGCCACACUGGGACUGAGACACGGCCCAGACUCCUACGGGAGGCAGCAGUAGGGAAUCUUCGGCAAUGGACGGAAGUCUGACCGAGCAACGCCGCGUGAGUGAAGAAGGGUUUCGGAUCGUAAAGCUCUGUUGUAAGAGAAGAACGAGUGUGAGAGUGGAAAGUUCACACUGUGACGGUAUCUGACCAGAAAGGGACGGCUAACUACGUG